CCUACGGGAGGCAGCAGUGAGGAAUAUUGGUCAAUGGACGCAAGUCUGAACCAGCCAUGCCGCGUGCAGGAAGACGGCUCCAUGAGUUGUAAACUGCUUUUGUACGAGGACAAACGCAGAUACGCGAACCUGACUGACAGUAUCGUACGAAUAAGGAUCGGCUAACUCCGUACCAGCAGCCGCGGUAAUACGGAGGAUUCAAGCGUUAUCCGGAUUUAUUGGGUUUAAAGGGUGCGUAGGCGGUCGGGUAAGUUAGAGGUGAAAUCCCGAGGCUCAACUUCGGAAGUGCAUCUGAUACUGUUCGGCUUGAGAGGGGUAGCGGUAGGCGGAAUGUGUGGUGUAGCGGUGAAAUGCUUAGAGAU
rnacentral:rRNA from 1 species